GAUUUUCAUGGGCAGUCAGAGGUUGUCAAUCUAGUCUAGCCAACAUUGAUCACCUUCUUAGGUUUGUUGCUUUCCCAAAUUAUACAGGCAAUUCUGGCAAUCCUGCCCNNNNNNNNCCAAGUCUGUUAAAGAGGAAGCUCAGAUGCCAGUAAAAUUAUCAAGGUAUCCAGUCAGAGUUGUGCUGUGUGCAUACAUGAUAAUAGGACACCCGGAUGCGGU
rnacentral:misc_RNA from 1 species